GAUGAACGCUGGCGGCGGGCCUAAUACAUGCAAGUCGAGCGGAGCGGGGACGGGUGAGUAACACGUGGAUAACCUCCUAUAAGACUGGGAUAACUUAAGGAAACCGGAGCUAAACCGGAUACUUAUCGAUGGAUCCGGGCUGGACUAGCUAGUUGAUAGGGGAACGGCUUACCAAGGCCACGAUGCAUAGCCGACCUGAGAGUGUGAUCGGCCACACUGGAACUGAGACACGGUCCAGACUCCUACGGGAGGCAGCAGUGGGGAAUAUUGCGCAAUGGGCGAAAGCCUGACCGAGCCACGCCGCGUGAGUGAAGAAGGUCUUAGGAUCGUAAAGCUCUGUUAGUAGGGAAGCGUUACCUAAUCAUAAAGCCACGGCUAACUACGUGCCAGCAGCCGCGGUAAUUC
rnacentral:rRNA from 1 species